GGGCGGAGUGGGAGAUAAAAAGCCCUGGUGGGAGCCCAGACCUAGCUCUUGGGGCUUCAGGAGGCAGAGCAUCUACACCAUGGACCUGACCCCUUUCCUUCUUGUGUUGCUCAGUGUCUGCAAAGGGAGCAGUGCCCAGGCUGUGGUGACUCAGGAGCCUUCUCUGACCGUGAUCCCAGGAGGGACAGUCACCCUGACCUGCAGCUCCAGCACAGGGGCCGUCACCUCUGGCCACUAUCCCAACUGGAUCCAGCAGAAAUCUGGCCAGUCCCCCAGGGGGCUCAUUUACAACACCAACAGUCUUGUAGCAGGUGUCCCUGCUCGGUUCUCAGGGUCCCUCCUUGGGGACAAAGCUGCCCUCACCAUCAAGGGGGCCCAGCCUGAGGAUGAGGCUCACUAUCACUGUGCCUUGUGGUACAGCAGUGCUAGGCACAGUGAGAGUCUCCAAUAGAGAACUGAGACAAAA